UAACGACAAACAAACGUUUAAAAACACAAAAGAAACCCAACAACAUCACUACUGCGCAAACUUAACAACAAGAUCUUUUCUUUGAAAAAGUCUAACAUCACAUCUGAACGUACUUACUAUUGACUUAGUUGUUCUGUACCACGACAACCUAAACCUUACAUACCCAAAUACCCUUGCGACCAAUUGUAUCAUUCCGUCGGUGGCUUACUUACGAACUUUCACAGUACUAGACCGACAUACUGCAACCACUUACAAGCAAAUCAAAACACAAGCUACAAUCUACUUAAACUUUCAUUAAAAAAUUGU